UCACCCCUCAAGCCCCGUGCUUGGUGUUGGACGGCCGGUCGAGCGAUCGACCCCUCCUAAAGACAAUGACGGCGGCCUGUGGUUCCCCCGGUACACUGAGCUUUUCACCGAGCACGUACCGGACCAGGGCACCCGGGACCCGGUCCUCUCCUUUCACUAGGAAACUUCUAU
rnacentral:misc_RNA from 1 species